rnacentral:lncRNA from 1 species
CAGUGAGGGGUAUCUGUCUGACUUCUCGGCGAUUUUUACGAUCUAACUUCGAGAUAAAACCCCUAUCCAUUUGACAUCUAAAUGUCAUAGCGACUUUUGGGAUAGUUUGCUAUCGACAAAGGGAGACAAAGUCAAGGGGUGAAGGGAAAGGAGGGCCAAGUAGAGCCUCCACGACCCUCGGCUUCCUCCUCACCAGCUCCCCCUCCCUCCAAGUCCAGUAAGAAGUUGGGCCAAGCUGGAAGGGAUUGACCGGGUUGCUUGUCUGGAGAUGGAGCCACUACAGGCGGGCCUGGGCGCCUGGAGUCGGGCAUGAAAGAAAAUAGCGCCUCAUCGCUCUUAUCUAAGCCCAGAGGUAGACUUCGCUUGAAAAGAUCGAGAAUGGAGGAGGGGAUCGGCACUCACUUGCAGACAUCAACAGUUUCCAGAAAAUUCGGUUCAAUUCCUUCACCACGGACCCACCAACCAAGGAGCUGGCAAAACCCACUAACCAACCAGGAGAACACAGACCCGGUUUGUCUUUUGACAACCGAGUGGAACUGACGGGGCCGGCGCCUGCCCUGCGGGUCCCCUCCCUUGGCUGAGAAGAAAACCAAAUAAACCUUGAACAGCCUUGGCUUCGGAUGUCUCAAGCGGCCUCAUCCUCUCCCGCGCCUUGGUGGGGUGGGGGUGGGGAUGGCGGUGGGGGUGUCGGCUCUGAUCCCUCCACCCUUUGAUUCAGGGCCCCUGCCCGCUGGAAGCAGAAUUAGACCUUUUUAUAUAUGCCCUAGAGGAAGCCGCUUCCCUUGCCAGCCGCCAGCCGUUUCCUCUCCCUCGCCGGCCUCGGCGGAGAUUCCAGGCCCUAUAGAAACCAGGACGUCCCUUAGCGCCACCGCCUCACAUGCCAGUGCUGCCGGGAACCCAGCGAUAUCCGCACCAGCGGAGAAGGUUCCAGGCUGCCGGCGGCGGCGCAGAGAGCGGGAAGAGAGGCUCGGAGGAAGCCCCGGGCGUGGCGUGGUCAGGCUCCGAGAGCGGCCGGGAUGCGGCCACACCGGCCUGGUAAACUCGCACCUCUUAGGAUCUUGCUCCCGGACUCAUUCCCUUCCCCACCCCCUAUUUUAAAGUUUUAUUUGGGUCGUCUGUAUCAAUUUAGAACGAGAUAAAUUAAGACAAAGAAAGUAAAAUAAAUCGAAAUAAAAUAUAGGAAUAGCUCUUGGCGAAAAUGUUUGCCGUGCGAGCAGGAAGCCGUGAGCGCCCUAGUUGGAGGCUGCUCUGCGCCGACUAAGAGGCCUCUACUCCCAGGCCUGGCCUCUACGCAACGCCACCCAAGAAGCCAGAGUGAAUUUGGGUGUUCAUUUUCCCUUUCCUUCCGCUCUUCCUUCAUGUGGGGCCUAGCAGCUUGGAUUUCAGCUCCGUCUUUGUGCCUGGGCUGCAGCCCAGAUCCAGAUCCCGCAGCUUGGUUUCCAGGCCUGAAUGAGGACGCGGGUUUGUGAAACUGUGAGGUUUUUGUUUUGUUGUUUUGUGAGCUUGUGUGACUAAGCAUGUGGGCUUCUGAGUGCGUUUACUUGGGGGCAAAUGUGAAUCUGUGUUUAUAAGCCAAUGUGUGAAUGUACGUUGGUAUCAAUGUGUCUGUGAGUGUGAAUGUGUGUUUACUUGUGAGCGUGUGUGAACAUGAAUGCCUA